GUUCAGGAACAGAUGGGUACAGAUAUAUAUUGACACCAGCGACAGGUCACAGUCCAGUUGCUGAUGUUACAAAACCGAUGGUGCAAGACAGACUACUAGACUGCUGUCUGAUUUGAGGAACUCUAUAGGUCAACAAUGAGACAGGCCACAGGACACAGCAGUGACAACCAGAGCAACAAUGCAACUCAGACUGGAUCUGUUGUUUUUCUCUCCAACCCUUUGAUGAGUGGUGAACCUCCCCACAUUGGAGCGGACCACCCCCCUGUCAGAGGCCUGUGCACAGGGCCACGCGGUCUGUGUGACCCUGCUCCUCCAGCACGGAGCCUCACCCCAAGGAUCCAGCCUCUCAGCCUCCCACAUCCACCAGGCCACAGCCAAAGGUCACCCAGAGUGCAUUGAGUCUCUGGUUCAUCACGGGGCAGAUGUCAAUCAACACACUGACCAAUCAGGCUCCCCACUCUACACUGCCUGCACCAAUCAGCAUCUGAGCACUGUGAAGAAAUUGGUUCAGCUAGGUGCUAGUGUGAACAGCAGUAAGGAUGGGGAUUCUCCUUUGCACGUGGCAGCCCGUCUGUCCAACCCUGAGCUGAUGUCUGUUCUGCUGGAGCAUGGGGCUGACUGCAGCAGCAGAGACACACAGGGCAAACGGCCCCUGGACCUGGCCUCUCCCAACAGCCCCGUGGAGAAACUAGUGCUGGGCCACAGAGCAGGAGUGUCUCGUCUGAUGCAGCUGUGCCAACUGUCCAUCAGGAAGAUUUUGGGAAAGGCCAGACUUAGUUCAAUCCAUGGUCUCCAGAUCCCCACAGAACUGAAACAAUACCUUCUGCACCAAUCAUAAAAUGAUUUUUGUUUUUUAUAUCUCAAUGCAUUUCUACUUUCAGUCAAUAGGUGGCGGCCUAACACCAGCAUCUUUGGACAGAGGACCUAAACACUCAUUUGAAUGUUGAUUAGAGGGAUUUUUUGUGCCAUAUCUUGAAAAAUGAAAGACAUGAGAAAGAAGAGAGAACUUAAAAUGUUAUGCAUUAAUUUGUGCAUAAAUAAAUGAAUAUAUCUACUGUCACUUGAAGAACAGGAACUGUGGACACAUAGACUUUGUCAUGUAAAAAGGAGAGCAGGGUUCAUUGUCUAUUACAUUUUAGUCAUUUAGCAGAUGCUCUUAUUCAGAGCGAAUUACAGUUAGUGAGUGCAUACAGUUUCAUACU